UUCCCUGGGGGUGGGGUGGGGUGGGGGGGUGACCAAGGUCUUUCUAGCUACUUGCAUUCUAAUAUCAUAGCUUUUUCCAGGAUGAGGAUGGCUAGGACCCAGCUUAGCCCCACUCCCGUACCUAUUCCAAGGGCAAGGGUGGGCAAGGGUGGUCGAGGUCCAGCUCAAUUUAGCCUUUUCCUAGAGUGAGGAUGGUUAAGACCCAGCUUAAUCCCAAGCCCAUACCAACUCCAAAGGUGGGGCAAGUAAGAUCCAGCUUAAACUUACCUGAUUCCAGAGUAAGGACAGCAAAGAUCCAGUCUUCCUCAGCACCCACAUCUAUUCAGUGAGGAAGGCUAGACCCUAACAACAGCCCCAACUGACAGAGGAAAUGGAUGGGUAUUCCCACAGUCCUAACCCAGCCUCUAGAGUCAGCUGUGAGCCCAGCAAAGCUCCAGCCUCCCCCAGAUCUUCCUGAGUCUUCUCCAGAAGACUACUUCUUCCAGAUAAUCCUCCAAAGUGCCCUCCAGCACCUCCAGAGAAUACAGUGUCUGCUCAAAUGCCCCUGGAUAUUAUAAAGUCUUUUAUAUGGGUUUUUGUUUGUUUGUUUGUUUUCAUCCAACCAAUUGAUUUAUCAACAAUUUCUUCAAACUUCUAACCUUUUCAGGUUGGCCAUGACUAGACCACAGGGUGAUUUUAUUAUUCACCUAAUAACCUUUUUAUUUUGUUCCUAACACAGACUAAUCAACCUGGCCAAAGCAACCUACCGGAUGGAAUCAAAUGUAGUUCAGCUGAAGAGAGGGACCCUCUGCUACAAGAUGACAUGAACUGAAUGAUGUGCAAAUAAGCCCAUCCAGCUGUUGUUGUGGACUCACCAGCAUCCUCCAAGUAUAAUUUAACUGAAACACUGUCACAAGUGGUUUUGCAAAUUGUGUGUAUUUAUAUACAUAUUGCAUUAUUGCUUUACUUCUUUAUAUUUUCAUAUAGAAUAAGAUUUAUGAAACUCUAAAGCUCAGUAUGCGUUUAUUUUAGGGCUGCAUGGGCUGAAACUGUUUUUGUCUCUCAAGGCAGAACAAGAGAAGAUUUGAAAACCACUUUUUUUUUUUUUUUUUUUUUUUUUUUCUUUACUUCAAAAUCUUCCAAAACGAAUAGGCUGUUCUUUCCAGUUGCCAGUCUAAACCCAUUGAACCUGUUAUGAUCAUCAUCACAUUUGACAUGGAACAACUUAUAAUUUUACCAUUUUAUGCGUCAGCAAUAAUUACUGUGGUGAUUAUUUAUAUGGUAACUUGAAAGAAGUGUUUCUGUGAGUUAAAAAAAUGGAACCAUCCAACAUAACUGUCUUACCUGUGCCAUGAAAGCAUUUAUCUGCUUUAAUUUUCAUAUGCACUGAGGAUUAUAGAGAGAAGUUGGAACUACUUGUCGAGGCUCAAGCUGUCAAUCGUCUGACAAUCUGAGUCAAGCAGAGCCCUCUGCACUCCUGUUUCUAUAUCACUGUAUUCUGUAAAGCUGUAUUUCUUGAAAUGUAUGAGAAUAAUGCAGUUUGGUGCCAAGCACCUUCUUAAAAAAAGUUAAUAAAUUAAAAGAAACAUGGAGGUUAAGUAUAAA
ensembl:lncRNA